UACGGGGGGGGCAAGCGUUGUUCGGAAUUACUGGGCGUAAAGGGCGCGUAGGCGGCCUUCUAAGUCGGACGUGAAAUCCCUCGGCUUAACCGAGGAACUGCGUCCGAUACUGAACGGCUUGAAUCCGGGAGAGGGAUGUGGAAUUCCAGGUGUAGCGGUGAAAUGCGUAGAUAUCUGGAGGAACACCGGUGGCGAAGGCGGCAUCCUGGACCGGUAUUGACGCUGAGGCGCGAAAGCCAGGGGAGCAAACGGG
rnacentral:rRNA from 1 species